CCGGAGCUAAUACCGAUAAUAUAUUGAACCGCAUGGUUCAAUAGUGAAAGACGGUUUUGCUGUCACUUAUAGAUAGAUCCGCGCCGCAUUAGCUAGUUGGUAAGGUAACGGCUUACCAAGGCAACGAUGCGUAGCCGNACCUGAGAGGGUGGAUCGGCCACACUGGAACUGAGACACGGUCCAGACUCCUACGGGAGGCAGCAGGG
rnacentral:rRNA from 1 species